GUCUCCACGGUGAGGCCAGGUCCGAAGCCGAAGAGAACGCCCCAGUCCAUUCCCUCGCCAGUUGUGGUGUGGCCAUCCUCGGCGGAGCGUUUGCGCAUUUCGUCCAUGAUGAAGAGUACACAGGCGCUUGACAUGUUGCCAUAUUCGGAGAGGACAUGCCUGGUGGCGCGCAUCCGUUCCUUGUUCAGGUUUACCUUGGCCUCCACCAUGUCAAGGAUUGCUGGCCCGCCGGGGUGCGCCAUCCAGAAGACGGAGUUCCAGUCAUCGAUGCCCAAUGGCUUGAAGGCGUCCUCCAGGGCGCGCUCGAUGUUCUUGGAGAUGAGCCCAGGCACAUCCUUGAGGAGGUGGAAGGUGAGGCCAACCUCGCGGAGGUGGCCGUCGAUGGCGCCCUCCGAGUCCGGCAGAAUCGUCUGGCUCGUAGACACUAGCUGGAACAGGGGGCGCUCGAUGGACUCGUUGGGCGAGUCAAGGUGGGACUCGUGCGGGCCACGGAAGGUCACCGCGGUGAUCUCGGAGCAGACCACCAGCACACGUGCGCCGCGGUUGUUCUCAGCAAGGUCUUUGGCUAGGCGAAGCACCGUGCCGCCAGCGAAACAGCCC
rnacentral:rRNA from 1 species